rnacentral:rRNA from 1 species
AUUGAACGCUGGCGGCAGGCUUAACACAUGCAAGUCGAACGGCAACAGGUAGAAGCUUGCUUCCUUGCUGACGAGUGGCGGACGUGUGAUCAUUGUCUGCCCAACUGCCUGAUGUAGGGUGUCAACUACUGGACUCGUUAUCCAAUACCUCAUCACGUGCAAAGAGGUAAGAGGGGGACCUUCGGGCCUUUUGCCAUCGGAUGUGCCCAGAUGUGAUUUGCUAGUAGGUGGGGUAACGGCUCGCCUAGGCGACGGUCGGUAGCUGGUCUGAGAGGAGGACCAGCCACACUGGAACUGAGACACGGUCCAGACUCCUACGGGAGGCAGAAGUGGGGAAUAUUGGACAAUGGGAGCAAGCCUGAUGCAGCCAUGCCGCGUGGAUGAAGAAGGCCUUCGGGUUGUAAAGUACUUUUAGCAGGGAAGAAGGGAGAAAAGUUAAUAUCUUUGCUCAAUGACGUUACCCGCAGAAGAAGCACCGGCUAACUCCGUG